UUAAAUACCGUUAAUGUACAUACUGUCUGAGUAGGUUUGGAGAAACUUUUAGUGGGAGCAGGAAUAUUCAAUACUGUUAAUGUACAUACUGUCUGAGUAGUUUUGGAGUAACUUUUAGUGGGGGCAGCAAUAUUAAAUACCGUUGAUGUACAUACUGUCUGAAUAGGUUUGGAGUAACUUUUAAUGGGGGCAGCAAUAUUAAAUACCGUUAAUGUACAUACUGUCUGAAUAGGUUUUGGUGUAAUUUUUGGUGGGAGCAGCAAUAUUAAAUAUGAUGUACAUACUGUCUGAGUAGGUUUGGAGUCACUUUCAGUGGGGGCGAGAAUAUUCAAUACGGUUAAUAUACAUACUGUCUGCACGUAAAUACUGCCCGUGUACAAACUAAAUUAUUAUUUUAAUGAGUGUUCGUACACCAUUGAUACGGUAUAAAAAUCGACUUUUAGCUACAUUAACGUUAAUUUUGUCAAUAUUAAAAUAGAAAUGAGUGCCCACACGUUCCUUCGCGCGUUGAAUAUCGUAUUAUAAUUGGUUUUCAUGAGACUGUCGGUAUUUUAAGAUACUGGAACCUCUAAAAUCGAAGUGUUCGUAUAAUUUUGAUACGUAACGCACAGCCACAUGUCAUCCCUGAUUAUCCCUGUACAUUUUCCGAUGACAAUGACUUCCUAUCGUUCCAAUUCACAUGAGCGGAUUAAGGCGAGAAACUGAGACAACUUGGCGAAAUUUGUACCGCGUUUGAUCAGGCAUCGAGAUACCUAAACUUCGGGCCAGAUUGCUACAACUUCGCAAAGGUAAGGAAAGUUCAAGGCGGAGCCCCCGCGGACGCCAAUUUAAUAAAAACUUUCCCGGAGCCGAUAUUAGAUCCGCCAUGCGAACGAAGAAACUGGAUUUCAGUGAAAUCGCACGAGCCCGUCGAUUUUUUAAUAAAAGUCGCGGGGAACUCGUUGGAAAGAAAUGAAAAACCGAUAUCCGAUAAUUCCGCGAGAUACACCAAUGAAAAUAAAACUAACACUCCAGAAUCAUUCCGUGUUGUUGCGUGAGAUAAUCUCCAGGUUAAGAUGCGCUUCGCGUGGUUGCCGUACAAGAUGGGUGACCGUUUUUUCACAAAAGUAAAAUAAUGGCGUGAAGAGAACCGUGGGGUUUGGAAGUGGUAUUAAACAAAAAUUAAAAUUGGACUACUCCAGUGAAAAUACCAGGCAAGUCUGGUAUGACGUUGCGGGAAUAUUUUCGCAAUUAUUUAUGGGUUAUUUCUGAGAAGCCGUUCCAACCCGCCUGGCGCAAGAAUAUUUCCAGAGUAACUGUAAAAAAAAAUACAAAAAAUAAUAAUAAAGUCAAUAAAAAGUCUACUCUACAAUUAAAACAAAAUAGUAUCAUAAACGUAGCUGUAGAAUUACAAUAUUGCAUCAACAUUUCUGCAACGUUCCUCCCAAUUUAGAUUACAAUUUCGCCGACAAUCUUCCCGCUGAAAUUUGUCGAAACUCUUCGCCUUUCUUAUGCGACUCGUGUUGUUCAAGCGUGUGCGAUUAGUGCCACCGUUGACGGUGUCUUCGACGCUUUCACGGCGCGCCGCGACGCCAGUUACGUAAACCAAAGUUUACCUUUCGAAGCCAUCCGUUCCCAGCGCCACGACCGGGUCCCAGUUCGCGAAAUUGCAAGAAACUUAUUCUCCUCGGCUGAAACUGGGAUGAGAUGAUGUACAGUCGAACGUUUUCUUUCUCCGCGUCUAACAAAAGGCUUAGGAAACAACGGCCAAAGGUGGACAGGAAAUAAUUUGUAACUAAAGUACUCGAUGCUCCGAGGAGAAUGAUGUAAGUGGAAUGAGUUGUGAAGUUGAGAUUACCUCAGUGUAUCCUUGGCUCUUGCGCUGUUCUGCGAUUCGUAACGCGGUGUUCUUCCGAAAGAUGAGACGAAAUGGUAAAAUUCGAUUCUUUUGUGGCAUCUGUAAUUGUCGAGUGAAACAAAGUCACGUUCGUUUGCAUAAAACAAAAAAAAACAAAAAAAAAAAAAGAAGGCUCGUCGACGAGCGUGUAGAAUUAAAUUAUAUCGACCCAUGAUUCAGAUAUUCAUUACAAAUGACUGUAGCAUGCACAUGGUAGAUGAAAGAAAUUUAUUUGAAAUGCUAAGAGUAAAAUGAUGACUCGUACGAAUCUACAAAAAGAGAAAUAAAUGAGACACUAUUGCUUACAUCACUGGUAAAUUACAUAGCCGCUGUUUUUCAUCCUCAUUGUGCGUCGAUGAUGACCGUGUAAGUUUGAAUCCGAUCUGAAAACAGAUGUACGGGAUGAUAUAGUCGCCUUCCUUAAUGAACGUCGUUUUAUUUUCACGUCAGUGACAAAAAAACUAUGAGUAUCGUUGUACGUAGAGCAAAAAUCGUUUCGCAGGUGCGUCGACUGGCUAUCGCUUCGACUCGUUCGACACCGAGAUUCGAAUGCUUAUAAGCUAGAACGCCCGAGAAAUGAUCAACGCGAUAUGUUCGAUCGGAAGCUCUGUACAACAAACGAAGGGAACGGAAAACGCUUUGCGCAGCUACAACGGCUCGUUUUAACCCUCUGUCGCACGAAUUUUUAUUGCAUCGUUCGAGCAAGAAACGAACUCGACUCUCGGUUUAUUUACAACGUUCGCGAAUCGAUGC